rnacentral:rRNA from 1 species
UACGAAGGGGGCUAGCGUUGUUCGGAAUUACUGGGCGUAAAGCGCACGUAGGCGGAUUGUUAAGUCAGAGGUGAAAUCCCGGAGCUCAACUUCGGAACUGCCUUUGAUACUGGCAAUCUCGAGUCCGGAAGAGGUUAGUGGAAUUCCCAGUGUAGGGGUGAAAUUCGUAGAUAUUGGGAAGAACACCGGUGGCGAAGGCGGCCAUCUGGACUGCAACUGACGCUGAGGCGCGAAAGCGUGGGGAGCAAACAGG